UGGUAGUGUAUGAUUGGUGGAAGGUAUGUUGGUAUUGUAUUAUUGGUGGGAAGGUAUGUGGUAGUGUAUGAUUGGUGGAAGGUAUGUUGGUAGUGUAUGAUUGGUGGAAGGUAUGUUGGUAGUGUAUGAUUGGUAGGUGUGUAAUGGUGGGAAGGUAUGUUGGUAUGUAUGUAUUGGUGGAAGGUAUGUUGGUAGUGUAUGAUUGGUGGAAGGUAUGUUGGUAGUGUAUGAUUGGUGGAAGGUAUGUUGGUAGUGUAUUAUUGUGGGAAGGUAUGUUGGUAGUAGUGUAUGAUUGGUGGAAGGUAUGUUGGUAGUGUAUGAUUGGUGGAAGGUAUGUUGGUAGUGUAUGAUUGGUGGAAGGUAUGUUGGUAGUGUAUGAUUGGUGGAAGGUAUGUUGGUAGUGUAUUAUUGGUGGAAGGUAUGUUGGUAUUGUAUUAUUGGUGGGAAGGUAUGUUGGUAGUGUAUGAUUGGUGGAAGGUAUGUUGGUAGUGUAUGAUUGGUGGAGGUAGGUAUGAUUGGUGGUAGUGUAUGAUUGGUGGAAGGUAUGUUGGUAGUGUAUGAUUGGUGGAAGGUAUGUUGGUAUUGUAUUAUUGGUGGAAGGUAUGUUGGUAGUGUAUGAUUGGUUGAAGGUAUGUUGGUAGUGUAUGAUUGGUGGAAGGUAUGUUGGUAGUGUAUGAUUGGUGGAAGGUAUGUGGUAGUAGUGUAUGAUUGGUGGAAGGUAUGUUGGUAUUGUAUUAUUGGUGGAAGGUAUGUUGGUAGUGUAUGAUAGGUGG
rnacentral:lncRNA from 1 species